UCGACGAAACAGGGGUGCUUUGCGCGCGUUUCCCGCAACACGAAACGCGCGACGAGGCUGAGAGAAACCCUUUGCACCCGAUCCGGGUAAUACCGGCGAGGGAAGUUUCCGGAAAACGCCA
rnacentral:ncRNA from 2 species